rnacentral:rRNA from 1 species
CCUACGGGUGGCAGCAGUGAGGAAUAUUGGUCAAUGGACGAGAGUCUGAACCAGCCAAGUAGCGUGAAGGAUGACUGCCCUAUGGGUUGUAAACUUCUUUUAUAUGGGAAUAAAACGUUCCACGUGUGGGAUUUUGUAUGUACCAUAUGAAUAAGGAUCGGCGAACUCCGUGCCAGCAGCCGCGGUAAUACGGAGGAUCCGAGCGUUAUCCGGAUUUAUUGGGUUUAAAGGGAGCGUCGGGGGAUUGUUAAGUCAGGUGUGAAAGUUUGCGGCUCAACCGUAAAAUUGCAGUUGAAACUGGCAGUCUUGAGUACAGUAGAGGUGGGCGGAAUUCGUGGUGUAGCGGUGAAAUGCUUAGAGAUCACGAAGAACUCCGAUUGCGAAGGCAGUUCACUGGACUGCAACUGACACUGAGGCUCGAAAGUGUGGGUAUCAAACAGGAUUAGAUACCCUUGUAGUC